GAUGAACGCUGGCGGCGUGCUUAACACAUGCAAGUCGAACGGAAAGGCCGAAGCUUGCUUCGGUACUCGAGUGGCGAACGAGUGAGUAACACGUGGGUGAUCUGCCCUGUACUUCGGGAUAAGCUUGGGAAACUGGGUCUAAUACCGGAUAUGACGAUCCCUUGGAUGGGGUUGUGGAAAGCUUUUGCGGUAUGGGAUGAGCUCGCGGCCUAUCAGCUUGUUGGUGGGGUAAUGGCCUACCAAGGCGUCGACGGGUAGCCGGCCUGAGAGGGUGUACGGCCACAUUGGGACUGAGAUACGGCCCAGACUCCUACGGGAGGCAGCAGUGGGGAAUAUUGCACAAUGGGCGCAGGCCUGAUGCAGCGACGCCGCGUGGGGGAUGACGGCCUUCGGGUUGUAAACUCCUUUCGCAAUCGACGAAGCCUUUUGGUGACGGUAGGUUGAGAAGAAGCACCGGCUAACUACGUG
rnacentral:rRNA from 1 species